CACGUUUCUCUCCUGAUCAGUGUUCCUAAUGUGAUCCACUUCUCCUGGCUGACUGUUCUUCCUCUCUCAAUCAGAAAGUAGCAGGAGGGAGCUGAGACAAAGGGACAGCAAAAACAUCACAGCCUUAAUCUGAGGAAUAUGUAAGGGCAUUGGCCCAGUUCUGAUUCAAAGGAAAGAAUCACCAACAUCCCCUACUGCAGCAUCCCAGGUUUACCUUGGAGGUGUUCCAUCCAAGUACUGAGCAGGCCCGCCAUCCUUUGCUUAUGAGACCUUACAAGAGCACAACCUAUCAUGUCUCAUCACUGUUGGUAUAAGAGCCAUCUCUCUUCUCAUCUGCAAUCAAAGCCAACUGAAAUACUCUUCCGGCAGCUCACUAACUUAGAAUUUCUCUAACUUCUUUCAAAUGUGAGCUGAAAACGUCUUUUCACCCUUAUCAU